UUGAAAGGUAUGUCUUUAACCAUGACAUAUUAUAAACACAGUGAUCUGCAUCCAAAAACCAUUUAUAUCCCGAUUUGUGCAGAUAAUACUUACGUGUCCAGUCACUCAUGUACAUCACUAUCUGUCUCAAUUUGGCCAUUCAAGUGGACCUUUGUUCCAAUUUAAGUCUGGAGCUCCAGUUACUAGGUCUUAUUUCACCACCUCUUUAAAGUCGGCUCUCUCAUUCAUCGGUUUAGAUACUCGGUACUAUAAAGCACACAGUUUCAGGAUAGGGGCUGCGACUUCUGCUGCAGCUAGGGGAAUUCCCCACUCCGUGAUUCAAGGGAUGGGGAGAUGGAAAUCGAGUGCUUUUAUGAAAUAUAUAAGGAUGCAAAAUUUUUAAGUUAUUUAUUGCACAGUUUCGGGUCAGCAUUGCCUGCCAAAACAUUUGUCAUUUAAUUAUUUAAUAUCUGUUAUUAAUAACCAGUGUCUGUUUUAUUAAUCUUGUGAUUAAUCAUUGUCAUAAGAAAUGCUAAUUUCAAUUUUGAUUUUUACAGUUGUGUACAUUAUUAUAUGUUUUGUGAUUUGUUUUGAGAGCAUGUUAUGGAUGUCAGCAUUGCCUGGUCUGUAACUGCAAUCUGUAAUUUUUUUUUAAAAAAAAAAAAAUAUUAUUAUAUACAUAAUUGAUUUUUAUAACAUGAAUUUUAGACUGGAUUCACGUCGCCAGAGCCCUCGGGUGGGGGAUCCACUCUUAAUGUAAGAGUGUAUUUGUGGCAGAUUUUUCUCCCCACCUUUGCUAUUAUUUGUCAUUUAUUCAAUUGAUAUGAUUUUAGUUGAUGUAAUUUCGUAUUAAUUAUGUAUUAUAAUUGCAUAUUUAAUUAUGAACUUUUAUGUCAAAUGUUUUAUUUGCAAAUUGUAUUUUUUUUGCAUUUUAUGAUUUUGAAUAAAUGACCUUUUUUCGUCAAUCUUGUUUUUAUAGAUAUAGCAAAACAAGCUCAAACUCUGGCUG
rnacentral:lncRNA from 1 species